GCCUGCAAGGUGAGCCGGCCACAGACAGGAAUCGGGUCUGUAGCACAACUUUUAGCAGAAAACUGCUCCACUUAGGCAUGAAAAAUGACUCUGUAAAACUAAACCAAUGAGCAAUGGAAACUGAACUUCAGCUUUUUGGGUUCCCACACUUCAUAAAAUAUAUCGGGGGUGGGGAGGGGCGUAAUGGUUUGAGAAUGAAGAAAUGCAUCUGAGAAUGAAGAAAUGCUUCCCAUCAGCCACUGCUUAUCAUGGAGGAUUUUCAGUGUGUGGUAUCUGUGCCUUGAGACAUCCACAUCAUCAGGCCAGCAGGCACUGUUGGUGGGACAGUGUCUACACUCAUUCUCUAGAUCCGUGAAUGCCUCAUAUGGUCAAGAAAGCAGAGAUUCUUCCUAACCGCGGACACCACGUAUAAUUUUUGCUCGUUGUGACUGUGACCAGAUGCUGGCACUCUGUGUGUGCCUGGAAAUCAGGCGCUCUCCUCUUCCCAGCCCUCCGAGAACCUCGGCCCUCUGACUCACAGUGAAGGGGAGGAGGGGGAAAAAGGAACGGAAAGAAAGCAAAGCAACUGCUCACAGGAUUUUAUUUCUCCUGGAUCUGGUGAAAGGGAAAGAGAACUUUGAGGCUGAAGACAAUGGAGAUCUAAUAGUGAUGCUGAAAUGCUAUUUCUCCUUGGAUUUUUCUCUUCCUCCUCUUCAGCAAGCCGGAGUCUGUGGUUUUGGUUUAAGCCACUGUUGGGAGGAGCUCCGAAAGCCAAACAACUGAAGGUAGAAAUAAAAGCCAGAGGUGAAGGUUUCUUUGGAAACCAAAGAAAUCUCUCUAGAUUUCAGCUCUCAAAGAUUUGCCAGCGCCGAAAGCACAAGAGGCAGGUUGCUCUCUGUGACGCUGUGUCCACAGAUAGCCCAAACACACACCUCUCUGGAAGUAAAGAAGAUCAGUAAAAGAUCAUCUCGUUUGAAACCCCCACUGUAAACCCCUUCCAAUAAAUUGUCCAUCCUGGUCUUGGACACUGCCAGGGGUCCAGGGGCAGCCACAGCUUCUCUGGGCACCCUGUGCCAGGGCCUCAGCAUCCCCACAGGGAAGGAUUUUUUUCCUAAUUUCAACUCUAAAGCUCCUCUCUUUCAGUGUGAAGCUGCUCACCCUGGUCCUAUUACUACACAUUCUUGUAAAUAGUCUCUCUCCUGUUGUGUUGUCUCUCCUCCAGACACCCCAAACCGUGAGCUGCUGAUCCUUCAGGUGUAAAUUGGAUUGGCACAAAACCCUGGUGCAGGCAGGCUACUCGUCUGUCAGCUCCAAGAAAAUUCCCAAGCACCAAAUCUCUGCUGCUAAGGGGUUUAAGGUCAAAGAGUCCAAAUCUAGAAAGGAAAUGAAAUUUGGAGCUCAGAUCCUUGACUGAAUUGGAGGUGAUAUCACCAUAACUGUGGUUUUCCACGCAGGGGGCUGCGAGGGAAGGGAGCGGUGUGAGGCACGAGGGGUGCGCAGGCAGACCUGGAGCACGGCCAGGGUUUGGAACGAGGCUGGGGGUCCUGCUGGCACCCCCCAUCGGCAGCACCACCCCCAGCCAAGCUCCCAGCUCUGUGCCAGCAGGCAGGACAGGCCCCACCACACUCCCCCCAUCCCAGACACCUGAACCGUCCUCCCCGUGGCUUCCCGAGGGUCCCAGGGGAGAUGCUGUCACGCCAGCCCUUGGAUCUCUGGAAUCCAGGUGGCACAGGCAGAUCCAGGGGAGUGGUGCCAGCUGCAGGCUGUGCACUGGGCUGUCAGCACCACCUCCAGACACGGAGUGCUCCAGGAAAGCUCCUGAGCACCGGCCAAGCAGGAUGGAGUCCAAGCUCUCAUCCACCGCCCGGAGCCCUUCGACACCGGGAAAGGGAGCUUGCCCUCCCUGAGCCAAAAAUGGAAAGGAUUAGCACAGUUUUCAUCCCCCAGAAGGAAGAGGAGACUGUUUUACCUCUGGAAAAUGGGCUGUAGUCACUGACUGCUUCCUAGGGGAUCACAGGGCAUGCCUUGCCCAGAAGUGCGAGUGGUUUUUGGUAGGGAUCCCCAGCCCAGCACUUCACGAAUAAUUUCCCAAGUGCAGGGAGCCAGCGCAGCAAUGCUACCCCCAGCGCUUUCAGGAGGUAACAUUUUGUCAGGAAGCACGGUGCUGGGGAAGCUGAUAACUUGUCCUGGGCUCUCCACAGCUCCCAGAAGAGGGGCUGCUCACAGCCCAGGCCCUGGAGGAGCGGCUGGCGGCACAGCAGCAGCCCCUCCCAAGGGCAUCUCCAGAGCUCAUUUCCUUGCUCCUUCCUCAGCCAUGCCUUUGUGCCACUCUGGGAUCACAGGUGCCCAGAGGGUGAGCUUGGGAGUCUGGCCAAAGUUCAAAGUGACAAAAUGACCUCUGCAAGCAGAAGGGAGGUUUCAGCUCCAGCAGCACACCCAGGAAUGGGGCAGGCAGAGAAUAUUUUCCCCUUUCCGUAGCUUGCUCUCUGCCCACAGCUUUUAUCAGUGGUUUUGGGGUUUUUUUAGAUAUCAGCUGUUUCAAAACCCGACCCUGAAGAAUUUCCCCCCAGUUUAAAAGCUACCCCAGAUUGCAGAAAUCUGAAGUUUGGCAGGGAAGCUGAGAGAAGUUCCUUGGAACAGCUUCCUUUGAAAGAUUUGGGAGUUCAAAGUUCCACAUCAAGGUUUCACAGUACAUUUUGCACCUUUUCUGUUUUAAGAGGCCCAUAAACGACCUGCCCAGGAGGAUUUCUCUGCACAAUAUCUGCACUGGGUGACCUGAGGUUUGUGCCUGUUUCUCACCCUUUGGGCAGAGAGAGCCAGGUUUGCCAGAUUUCCCUGGAAAGCGCUGUGACCAUACACAAGAACCUGCACCAAGGAGGUUUCCAGUGACAUUUUAAAUCUCACGUUCACAGCAACACCAACAAGAGCAGGUACAAGCUCCUGAAUUUCCAUGAAUGGGAAAAUCCUCAAAAAAGAAGCUCUAACCAACAGUCUUCAGAGAUCACAACAGCUCAGCUGCAAAGAAGAGAAGGUCUGGGGUCUCUUCUGCCUUGGGCUGGGGUUGGUUUAAUGCUGGGUUUUAGACUUGCCUGUAGACCUUGCGUAAUCAAAAAUAGAACUGUAAAUUCAUCAUCUGCUUUGUUCUGUGCAAGUAAUUCUCUAUUCACAGCUCACCCUCAUCCUGCAGAGCAACUCACAUGCUCUGGUUUGUUACGCCAGCAUAGUCUAAUUCCAGAGAUCACAAAAAUAAUAUUCCA